UUGCUAUCCUAAAGAAAAGUAACAGAGGUAUACCCAGCCUGGCAGCUUCUGUGCCUCUGAGCAGUUUCCAUCAGGGAAAGAAAGACAAAGUAAUAUUUCUUCCUAUCAGUGGGAUCAUGGCUGAGAUCUAUGCUAUUUACUGAAAUCAGGAUGGAAAAAUGUGCUGUAAAGACACACCGAGCUUCAAAUCCCAGUGCGUGUACCUAUGCUCCAAAUGCUGAAAUCAUACCCAGACUCUGCCUUUGGGGUUUCAUCUUAUUUCCACCUCUAGGAUCUUGUCUAUUCCAGAAUGUCAUGUGCGUCUUGUAGUUUAGAGACUUUGCUGAGACAAGUUGUCUUAACGUGGCACAAUGAGUUUGAAGUUCAUUUUGCUGUUA